GUCGAGCGGUAACAGGUGUAGCAAUACAUGCUGACGAGCGGCGAACGGGUGAGUAAUGCUUCGGAAUCUGCCCAAUGGUGGGGAAUAACCAGCCGAAAGGUUGGCUAAUACCGCAUAAGUCCUACGGGGGAAAGCAGGGGAUCGCAAGACCUUGCGCCGAUGGAUGAGCCGAAGUCGGAUUAGCUAGUUGGUAGGGUAACGGCCUACCAAGGCGACGAUCCGUAGCUGGUCUGAGAGGACGACCAGCCACACUGGGACUGAGACACGGCCCAGACUCCUACGGGAGGCAGCAGUGGGGAAUAUUGGACAAUGGGGGAAACCCUGAUCCAGCGACGCCGCGUGUGUGAAGAAGGCCUGCGGGUUGUAAAGCACUUUUAGUGGGGAUGAAAAGCUCAGGGCUAACACCUCUGGGUCUUGACCUAACCCACAGAAAAAGCACCGGCUAACUCUGUGCCAGCAGCCGCGGUAAUACAGAGGGUGCGAGCGUUAAUCGGAAUUACUGGGCGUAAAGCGUGCGUAGACGGUUAUGUAAGUCGGGUGUGAAAGCCCCGGGCUCAACCUGGGAAUGCCAUUCGAGACUGCAUAGCUAGGGUGCGGAAGAGGGAAGCGGAAUUUCCGGUGUAGCGGUGAAAUGCGUAGAUAUCGGAAGGAACACCAGUGGCGAAAGCGGCUUCCUGGUCCAGCA
rnacentral:rRNA from 1 species